rnacentral:lncRNA from 1 species
GUCGUUCGUGGAUGCUGCAGUCCGUUCAUCUAAGUUCCUGUGUCGAACAAUGUUACAGCUGUGAGAUGCAACACUGGAUGCAGGAUCUCCCUUAUACCAUGUGACUUACUGUGGGAGUGCAACAGGUAAUUUGACAACCUCUAGUGUAAGGUGAAGUAUGAUCUCGUCUUUUGGUCUUUAAAGGUCAAUUGAAAAGCAUUGGAACUUGUUUUUUCAGGUUCCUCAGGAAGGUAUAUAACUGACGUGCUCAAAUUGUAACAUUUUUUGCUUCCGCUGGAAAGCGCAUUCAUGUUGAUUGAUGUUCCAAACAAAAAUUAAUGGGGAUUAGAAAAUAUCGUGAUACCAUAUGUCAGGCUACUCUAAGCUGUAUCCAUGUUGUCAUGUGAGGGGCAUACUCUAAGCAAUACCUGUAUGGUCGUUUAUUCUAGAAAGUAAUAGGUCUAGUUUCAUACUAGAGAGGGGCAUGGAAGGGGGUGAGAUCUCAUCAUCACAUGGUACGUAGCAUUUUUGUUUGAGUUGUUGCUUAUGAUGUCCUUUUAGUCUCUUUUUCUGAUGCAUUACUAGAGUUCUACACAAAUUUAAGAUGUUCAGGUCUAAUUCAUCAAAAUAGCUUAUUGUUGGUUGAUCCUUGUAUGAGGAGCAAGUCUAAUACAUCACUUGAUGUAUUACAAAAGAAAAAAACAUUUGCAUCUUUGUGAAUAUCCACGGAAAUUAUCGUGUCUGGUUUUCUCCAAGGGUAGUUCCCGUCUUGUCCGCUGGGAUUGAACUACAUGUGGGAGAUCAAUGUAUCAGUGUGGGUGUGGCUUGGUCAAGCAUCACUGUAGCAAGCCAUAGGGAUCUAAAAGAUCUCAACUGCACAUGAGAUACCAUUCUAAAUUCGCUACAUAUCAGAUCAUAGAGCAAGUUGGGAAGUUUUUCAAUCAAUCUUGUUCUUGUAAAUACUCUUCCGAGUUAAACUUUAUACUAAUUUUCUAAGUAUGGUUGAAGUUGCCAUUUUGAUCAUCGUGCAAGUUUGGAAGUUUUUCCUUGAAUCUUGUUCUUCUAAAUACUCUUCCUAGUUAAGCUUCAUACUAAUUCUCUUAAUACGUUUGAAAUUGCCACUGAUUCUAGGUGAGUUUUGUUCUGUCAUUCUCCGUGUUCUUGCUAUAUCAUUGAUAUAUAUUUAGUCAAUGUCACUUCACACAUGGUACACUUCGUAAAAUGUCGCUUAACAGAUAAGUUGUUCAGCCAAUUGUCACUUCACAGAUCCUUCGCGGAUGGUUUUGUUACUUUGUUCUUGUCAUGUUCUACUACCAGCUAUAAUCUUAGAAAAUGAAUUUUGGUAAAGAGGGAUCCGACCAUGAGUUCAGGCGUUCAGGUUCGUAGGAGUUCUCUUGGAAUUCUCUGUGUAAUAGGUUUCGGUUAGACCUAUCUUCUUUCUCCCCCUCCCCCUAAUGGGGGUAGAGCUGUCGAUUUUGAUGACAUAAUCUUGCAUGUUUUCACAAAGCUGCAACUAUCUUUGGUGGUUUGGAGUAGAUAUUUCUACUUAAUCUUGUAGUCAUUCAUUCCAUCCUGCUUCCCUCUACAAACAUCCCUGCUUGAUUGGAAUGGGGAGGGCUGGCAACUCGAGUUCUUUUCUCCUGCCUGUUGUCUUAUCUGAUCUGGUAGGCUUUAAUUUUCUCCCUGAUGCAGGUUUCUGCUCUUUGGUUGUGGCUGUUGGAAAUUUGGGCGGCGGGGUCAAGGAUGUUUUUCUUGAGGUUUCUGCCAUAGUGCAACCAGUCUUGUGUGUUCAUUUUCCUGAUGACCGGAGACGAUGAUGAUUUUUGGUCAUUUACAGAAUUGGAUAUAUCUGGAUUUGUUGGUGCAGUUGCAUCCGUAAGUUCUCUGAUUUUGCUAUAUAGGUAUGGAAUGAGCAGAUCUGUUUAUAGAAAAGAAUGUCUCGCAGGAUGCUUGGCCUCCUGUGCCGGACGUGAGAUCCGAAGGGUGAGCUUAUGAUGCAGGGAAUUUCUUUCUAGGUUUGCAGAUAUAUUUUGAAGUUUGACUUUGCUGUAAAUUCUCACUUUUGUUGGUUUCUUGAGGCAUUCAAGGACUUCCUGUUUAGGUUAUGCCAAUUUCUUUCUGGUUCUACACGAG